rnacentral:rRNA from 1 species
AACCCGCCUGCGUGAAGUUGGAAUCGCUAGUAAUCGCGGAUCAGCAUGCUGCGGUGAAUACGUUCCCGGGCCUUGUACACACCGCCCGUCACACCAUGAGAGUCGAGAACACCCGAAGUCCGUAGCCUAACCGCAAGGGGGGCGCGGCCGAAGGUGGGUUCGAUAAUUGGGGUGAAGUCGUAACAAGGUAUC